AAUUUUUAUUUUAGUUUAGAGUUGAUUCGCUCGGUCUCUUUUAACAAUUUUUUCCAUGGUUACAUCAUGAAUAUAAAUGGUUGCAUGAAGUUCUUUUUCCUAUGAAGCUGUUUCAGUUAAAUUGCAAUAUACCUCAUACAACCCAAGCUGAGGAUAUAGAUACAUAUUAUAAUUGAUUAUUAUAUACAAAUAAAAAUAAAAAGUUACUGAACAAUUUUUCUUAAUAAAUAAAUAAAUAAUUUCAGAUUCACGUUACUAGUGUUAUUUAGUAUGGUAUAUAAUUUA